rnacentral:rRNA from 1 species
CCUACGGGAGGCAGCAGUGGGGAAUAUUGGACAAUGGGCGAAAGCCUGAUCCAGCAACGCCGCGUGAGGGAUGACGGCCUUCGGGUUGUAAACCUCUUUCAGCGCAGACGAAGCGAAAGUGACGGUAUGCGCAGAAGAAGCACCGGCCAACUACGUGCCAGCAGCCGCGGUAAUACGUAGGGUGCGAGCGUUGUCCGGAAUUAUUGGGCGUAAAGGGCUCGUAGGCGGUUUGUUGCGUCGGGAGUGAAAACUCAGGGCUUAACCCUGAGCCUGCUUCCGAUACGGGCAGACUAGAGGUAUGCAGGGGAGAACGGAAUUCCUGGUGUAGCGGUGAAAUGCGCAGAUAUCAGGAGGAACACCGGUGGCGAAGGCGGUUCUCUGGGCAUUACCUGACGCUGAGGAGCGAAAGUGUGGGGAGCGAACAGGAUUAGAUACCCUGGUAGUCCACACCGUAAACGUUGGGCGCUAGGUGUGGGACUCAUUCCACGAGUUCCGUGCCGCAGCUAGCGCAUAAGCGCCCGCCGUCGGGAGGUACGGCCGCGACGGACGUAAACCUACAAGGAAGUUAGACGGCGUGAGACGUGCCGAACGGACGACCGACCGAGGGAGGUAGG